AACAAAACACACGUGAAUUAUAUGACUUAAAGAACUCAGGUCAUUCAACAUGAAUGCGUCUUCCCUCCUCUCUCAUUUCCCCUUCCGCCGUGCCGGAUGCCCUCUCCAGCGGUGGAGACAAUCUCAGAACAACAAUCAAAAACCUCCCUUAAACUGUUUUCAUGCGCUGAAUCCAAAAAAACCUAUGAAAAUUUCUAAUUCAACACGAAUUGUUCAAAUCGAAGGGAAACAAGGAUGAACCCUAACUAAUCAAGGUUAAAUUAAAUGGCACACACUCACGGAUUCACGCUCAGACAUUGGGGUAUUGAUGCCAAAAAUGUCCUCUACACAGUGGUAACAAAAUCAUGGUGAGCAGAAGAGAAAGAAGAUUUACCUCAUAAACAGAGAAUUAUUCCGACGAAUGUUGAAUCAGAGAAGACGGAGGCACAUCGGAAAAUCAUUUGAAAACAAGUAAUUCACGAUCUUAGCUUCUUCUUCGUAUUCACUUCUUCUUCCAAAUUUCUUCUGUAAUUGAGAAAAUGAACCGUGAGGGAUGAAACGAGCUUAGCUCAACUCUGUUGAAGCUUCGAGGUGAAACUUUAAUGGAAUUUCUGAGAAAAAGAGCUUUGUGUGAGGGUGAAGAGAGGAUUGAGAUCAACAAAAUGAAAAUUGCAACUCGAGAAAUCUGGAUUUCAUGAAAGUGGCGCGUCAACCUUCAAUGAGUGAAGAGGUUGCAGAUUAUGAAUCUGACUUAAUGGUUCAAUUGACGGUGUGCUCGAAUUGCAAGUGCAGGGUGAUGCUUUGAGUCAGGGCAAUGUGUGGAUGGAUUUCUGUCACGGGUUUAGAAUGCUGCAGGGUUCAGUUAGCUUGGUUCAAAGCAAAGCAAUGGCUCUGUUUGUGAUGUGCAGAUCAUGGAUAGUUUGCAUCAGGGAAAUGUUUGUAGCAAUGGACAUGGUGAAUCAGUUUUCUGCAAUGCCAUGUGGAAUAUAGGGUGAUUUGGUGGUUCAAAGCAAAACACUAGUUCUGGUUUUUGCAGCAUGUUCAAUUGGAAUGAAUUUGGGGCUUGGGAUUGGAUUAUAUAAGGCUUGUUAACAAGGUUUUUAAGAUUGAAUGUAAUAAGUGUAAUGAACAUUAUUGAAUGAUAAGUAUUGAAUAAGAAAUGGCUUUGUAUUGAUUUGUAUGGAAUGUUAUGCAUUUGGUCAUGUUGAAA